rnacentral:rRNA from 1 species
UUGACGGUACCCUACUAGAAAGGAGCCGCUAACUUCGUGCCAGAAGCGUCGGUAAUACGGGGGCUCCAAGCGUUAUCCGGUGUUAUUGGGCGUAAAGAGUCGUGUAGGUGGUUGGGUAAGUUAUCUUUCAAAUAUCUUUGCUUAACAAAGAGGAGGGGGAUAAUACUGCUCGACUAGAAUUUUCUCAAGGGAGAUCGGAACUGAGGGAGGAGUAGUGAAAUGCGUUGAUACCCUCGGGAACACCAGUGGCGUAGGCGGAUCUCUGGGAGAAGAUUGACACUGAGACACGAAAGCUAGGGGAGCGAAGCAGAUUAGAGACCUGCGUAGUCCUAGCCGUAAACGCAUGCUUGCUAGCUGCAUGAAUCUACCUUCGGGUGGUAUCGUGUGGCGAAGGUAACCCGUUAAGCAAGCCGCCUGGAAAGUACGGCCGCAAGGCUGAAAUUCAAAGGAAUUGGCGGGGAGGCACACAACCAGUGGAACAUGUGGUUUAAUUCGAGACUAACCGAAGAACCUCACCAGGGUUUGACAUGUAGCUGCACGUCUUAAGAAAUUAAGACUCUCUUGAAGGUGCUACACAGGUGCUGCAUGGCUGUCGUCAGCUCGUUCCGUGAGGAGUGCCCUUAAGUGGGGCAACGAGCGCAACCCCUAUUACAUGUUAGAAAUGUCAUGUAAGACUGCCUUGCCAUUUGGCGGGGAGGAAGGAGGGGCAGACGUCAAGUCCGCAUGGUCCUUAUGCCCUGGGCUACACACAUGUUACAAUGAGUACGGCAAUGAGUCUGUCGCGAGCACGUAAGUGUAAGCUAAUCUCUUAAAUGUACUCUCAGUGGGGAUUGAGGUCUGCAACUCGACCUCAUGAACACGGAAUUGGUAGUAAUCGCGGGUCAGCUAUACCGCGGUGAUACGUUCUUGCCUCUUGCACACACCGCCCGUCAAACCAGCAAAGUC